rnacentral:rRNA from 1 species
GACGAACGCUGGCGGCGUGCUUAACACAUGCAAGUCGAACGGUGACGAGGAGCUUGCUCCUCUGAUCAGUGGCGAACGGGUGAGUAAUACAUCGGAACGUGCCCAAUCGUGGGGGAUAACGUAGCGAAAGUUAACGCUAAUACCGCAUACGAUCUACGGAUGAAAGCGGGGGAGUCGCAAGACCUCGCGCGAAUGGAGCGGCCGAUGUCAGAUUAGGUAGUUGGUGGGGUAAAGGCUCACCAAGCCAACGAUCUGUAGCUGGUCUGAGAGGACGACCAGCCACACUGGAACUGAGACACGGUCCAGACUCCUACGGGAGGCAGCAGUGGGGAAUUUUGGACAAUGGGCGCAAGCCUGAUCCAGCCAUUCCGCGUGCAAGGGAUGAAAGGCCUCGGUUGGUAAACUAGCUUUGUUACGGUAACGAAACGGACGGAGCUCUAAUAAAUUGUCUAAUAACGGUACCGUAAGAAUAAAGACAACGCCGUAACUAACGUAGCACGCAGCCG